UACGGAGGGUGCAAGCGUUAAUCGGAAUUACUGGGCGUAAAGCGCGCGUAGGCGGUUCGAUAAGUCGGGUGUGAAAGCCCUGGGCUCAACCUGGGAAUGCCAUUCGAUACUGUCGAGCUAGAGUAUGGUAGAGGAAAGCGGAAUUCCACAUGUAGCGGUGAAAUGCGUAGAUAUGUGGAGGAACAUCAGUGGCGAAGGCGGCUUUCUGGACUAAUACUGACGCUGAGGUGCGAAAGCGUGGGGAGCAAAC
rnacentral:rRNA from 1 species